UUUCUGAGCUCUAAUUAACAUUAUCCCAAGCAUUCUCUCAAUGCUCUUUUGAUGUCAUAAAGCAUGCUGGAACUAUAAAUGAGCUGUUCUCCCAUUAACACUGCCAUGCCCCCAUCCCCUCCCUCUGUUACCCAGGCAUUAACCAACCCACUACAUCCACAGGAAGUUAAAGGCUGCACCUUUACUCACAAGAAAACAAGGUGCCAGUGAAACCUCUGUUCCUGACGGGGUAAUGCAGGCUGGAAGGCAAGAGGAGCCCUGUGGC